GACGAACCGUGCGAACGUUGUUCGGAAUCACUGGGCUUAAAGGGCGCGUAGGCGGGCGGUCAAGUCCGGGGUGAAAUCUUUCGGCUCAACCGGAAAAGGGCCUCGGAUACUGACUGUCUUGAGGAAGGUAGGGGCAUGCGGAACUUCCGGUGGAGCGGUGAAAUGCGUUGAUAUCGGAAGGAACGCCGGUGGCGAAAGCGGCGUGCUGGACCUUUACUGACGCUGAGGCGCGAAAAGCCAGGGGAGCGGAACGGG
rnacentral:rRNA from 1 species